UGGGGAAUUUUGGACAAUGGGGGCAACCCUGAUCCAGCGACGCCGCGUGAAGGAUGAAGGCCUUCGGGUCGUAAACUUCUUUUAGAGGGGAUGAAUGGGCUGGUGAAUAACCAGUCGUGACAGUACCCUCGGAAUAAGCCACGGCUAACUACGUGCCAGCAGCCGCGGUAAUACGUAGGUGGCAAGCGAUACUCGGAAUCACUAGGCGUAAAGCGCAGGUAGGCGGUUGGAUAAGUUUUUUGUGAAAGCUCCCGGCUUAACUGGGAGAGGCCAAGAAAUACUGUCUGACUCGAGUGUGGUAGGGGAAACUGGAAUUCCUGGUGUAGCGGUGAAAUGCGUAGAUAUCAGGAGGAAUACCUAUGGCGAAAGCAAGUUUCUGGGCCAUCACUGACGCUGAGCUGCGAAAGCUAGGGGAGCAAA
rnacentral:rRNA from 1 species